GUGGAUGUGGCGGAAUUGGUAGACGCGCAUGGUUGAGGGCCAUGUGGGUUAAACCGUGCUGGUUCGAGUCCAGUCAUCCACACCA
rnacentral:tRNA from 1 species